GCGGGUGUAGUUCAAUGGUAGAACAUCAGCUUCCCAAGCUGAAUACGGGAGUUCGAUUCUCCUCACCCGCUCCA
rnacentral:tRNA from 3 species